rnacentral:rRNA from 1 species
UACAUACUGUGCGAACGUUAUUCGGAUUCACUGGGCUUAAAGGGUGCGUAGGCGGCUUGUUAAGUAGGGUGUGAAAGCCCCCAGCUCAACUGGGGAACUGCAUUCUAUACUGGCGAGCUGGAGUGAGAUAGGGGUGUGUGGAACUGCCAGUGGAGCGGUGAAAUGUGUUGAUAUUGGCAGGAACGCCGGUGGCGAAAGCGACACACUGGGUCUCAACUGACGCUGAGGCACGAAAGCCAGGGGAGCGAACGGG